rnacentral:lncRNA from 1 species
AUUAAUUUGUGUAUGUUUUAUUGACUCUCUUGGUAAGCUCGGUGACAAGAGAGAUCACUGCUGCUGAAAAACCAUCGACAGGAGAAUGUUGGAUCCCACCAGAAAAAGAUAUCCUGCAUCCAAGGGCAAAGAAGCCCCAACAAGAAGGUGGUAACUACAAGUGGAUCAAACAUGUUCUUCUCUGUAUUACCUUCACCUACUACGAAAAGACCUCUUGUUCUUCCCUUCUGAGGGAGACAAAGAAGAUAGUAGGUGGGUAG